ensembl:lncRNA LOC120095206 uncharacterized LOC120095206
CGCACCUGACUGCGCUGCCAACCCGGGGAACCGCCACCAGGAGGAGGAGGAUCUUUACACCCGCGGCCCGUGGCUCUGCCAGCCUCGGAACCUGCGGUGGCUUCCUCUACCUCCUCCAGCUGCCUAGCCUGGUCUGAGAGUCCAGCUCUGGGCCAAGGAGGAGGAAGUCGCGGCCCAGAGGGGACAGCAACAGGUGGGAAGCUCAGCCGCCAUGCAGCUGCCUAAUUGCAGCCUGGCCUUGGGCAAAGCUUCCCACUGGGUUCUCUGAGACCCACACUUCCCGGUUUCUUUCCAAGGCGGAGGCCGGCUGUACGUGUUCAAGUAAGGGCCCGGGAGAGGUGGCAGUGCCUGGGAAAGACGUCUGCAGCAGGGACGGAAUGAAUGAUCACUGGGGUGCGUCUCCCUCUAUCCCUUCUCCAGCCUGUAGGCUGUCGAAACCCACAGAGCAUUCAGCUGCAGUUCGCGGAUAAUCUUUAUAUUAAACCUGGAAAGGCUCCCCCGGACCCGCACUCAAUAGCCGGCGAGAUUUAGAUGUGCUAGCGAUUGCUUGUCUGACUGAGCUGUUUCUCCUCGCGAAUGGCGGUGAAUCACUUACAAACAAAAAAGCUCCUGGACUUCUCCGGGAUAUGUGGGGGAAGGGAGGGAGCCGCUGGUUCCUCUCUCGCCUUGUCCGCCCUCAAUCUUUCUCUCCACCACCGCCCGGCACGCUCUGCUCACGUUAAACCAGAACAAUUAGAGGGUAAUGAAUUCUCCGGAACAGCAACUCCUACAGACUCUCAGCUCUGCCUUCGCCCCAGCGCCUCCCAGUCCUCCUUCCCAGCAACCAGGCAAGAGUACUGCAGACCUUCAAAAGCCAGCCUCGGUUAGCACCUGCAUCCUGACAGUUUAUAAAUGAAUUCCCGAGUGACUGUGUGUAAAGCGGGUGUAUAUUAUCUCUGAGUACAUUGGGAUCAUAGCGAAGCUUUGCUUUUAAAAGAACGUGAUACGUUUAGGAGUCUUUUCUUGUUUUAUCUUCCACGAAGUUUGCAGUCCGGUUUAAUGAUUAUGCUUCAAGCGCCCCCAAAGCAUCCUGCCUACCUUUAACUUAAACCCCUGAAGACCUCCUUGAGUCACCAAACAACUUCUACAAAGUAUUUCGCAUUCUAGGUGGUAGGAGCAGGGCGCGCUUUUCUGUGUAGCAGAGUUGAAAGGAACCUUUCUGAGUUACUGCGUGGAUGCCCGCCUCCUCGUCCCACAUCCGCACUUGGCCCCUAGGAGGUGCUGGUGAAAUGUGCAUAGAUUUUCGCUUUUGCCUUAAGAAGCCUUCCCCCGCCCCUGCCCCCCCCCUCCAGCAUGAGCAAGUCACUUAAGGGGCUCUACAGUAGGUCAUGCAAGCCCUAGGACUGUUUUAAUAUACAAAUGGUGUUUCAUUUGCUGAGGCUGACUAUGUCAAGCCCUGAUACUGAGGGUCGCCUUUUAAAACCUCUUAUAAUGGGAUAUUGUCUCCCCGCAGGGGAGGUCUUCCUUAUCAUAUAUUAAGCCAUAUAUUAUUUAUAAAUAGCUUAGAACCCAGGCUGUAGCCUGAAGCGAAAAGAAUCCGGCGACAGAAAAAUUAACCCUUCAUUAGCCAAGGCAUAGAGAAGGAGUUAACAGCUCAUUUAUGUUUUAAUUUUUUUCCCCUUGUCUUUCUUCUGGGUUGGGGCUCACUUCAUAAGUGGAUGGUGAAGAAUUUUCCAAACUGUAGGAACACCCCCACCCCCUUUCCCCCAUAGGUAAGGCUCUCUGUUUGAAAUAGCCCAGCUACCCAGAAAAGGGAAGUGUUUUCUAGUUCACCGUUGUUUUAUUUUAACAGUCCACUCUCAGGAAAACCAGUAAGCUCCAAGCCAAGACAGUUUCAUAGAACGGGAAGGGUCAUUAAAGAAACGAGUGCAAUACUCUUCGCCUUUGUUUGGCUGUGUACAUUUUGCUGUAGAGGCAGAUAAAAUAAUGACUCUAGUCUUUCUGCCAAUCAUAGACUUUACUCUCAGUCCUCUCCCAGGGACUGAGUAAAUGACAGGCCACAGGGCAGGUAUCUAGAUGGAGAAAGUUCACAGAAAUUAGAUUUUUACGAGCAGCUUCCCAGGCUAAGAAGAGGCUUUCCCUUCAUUGUUUAGUUUACCAAACACCAAGGAUUUAAUUUUGACUAAAACGUGUUCAGCAUUUGUUAGAUUUGCAUAGCUUCCCUGUAACUGCACCUUUUAAUUAAUAAAUGGCUUUUUACCCCAUCCCUAUUAGGAAAUCUCUACCGUGCCAAAGUAUCAGGGUUGGGAUAAAUAUGCUCUCUUUGGAGCAGUGAGUGAUACAGAUUGCUCUAGUCGGUCUACCUUUUUUUGGCUGACUUAGGCUUUAUUUAGCACGUGAGCACGUGAGCACAUGCACACACACACACACACACACACACACACACACACACACACACACACGCACACACACAGGGAUAGAAGGUAGAGAGCCAUUAGUUUUGGACACUGUGACAGUUGGCUGUUGGGAUCCAUCUGUGGAUUAAAUUUUUCCAAGGAAACCACAAUUGCGCUCUUACUGACUCCCUCCACGGCAACCAUCUAUAAUAUUAGCUCCAAUAUUAGUCAGACUCUGGAUGAGAGAGAAGGCUGACUGUGCAUGGCCAUGUGACGGAGAGAGCACCUGUCUCACUGGAAGCAGAAAUCUUCCCUUCACACUUGCCUGAAGGAGGAGAAACACAUUCAGACAUCCACUGCCCGUAUAUUUUCAAACUCAUAGUCCAGACACACACACACACACACACACACACACACACACACACACACCAACCUCUAGCAGUUUCACAUACUCCACGUUAAGAACCACUAACUUGCAAUAAUAAUGAUAAAUUAAAUAUAAGUGAUAGACUAUUCGUUUGAGUUGCAAUAGAACAAAGCCACCUAAAGUGGCACUUCAAAAGGUCAAAUCGACUCUUUAUUGGAAAUCCCCUUUGUCUUUGAAAAUUAAUCAUUUAAUCAUUAUUACUUACCAUUAUGAUGAUAGCUCUAUUCUUUAUAAUGAUCUUUAUGGAUAGACUUUUAAAAUACCUACUCAGCACCUAGUCAAAGAAACAAUAUUUCUUUUCCCCUUCAGAGUUCUUUUUUUUUUUUUUUUGCCUUAGAUGCCAAACAAUUAAACAAAACACUGAAAUGAUCCAAUGCUGGGGGUGGGAGGGGGAAAGCCCACAAGAAAUAUUUUGUCACAUUCAUUGGCAAUGAGGAUGCUAGGGACAUAUGAAAGACAAACUUGUCACCUGACUAUGUUAAUGUCCCCAUGCCCAUGUACCCAUGACCUCUGACUCUGUGUUUUAAUGAAUGGCGGGCGUAAGUAUGACUUUGGAGUUUCACAUCCUCUAUCUACUCAGAGGCACUGAAAGAGUGAACUUCCUUCAUAAGUAUGGUCUGUGAAGAUGCUUCUCUGCGUCUCGCAUACCUGGAAACAUAGUAUCUUCUGCCCUGGCUUUUUUAUAGGACUGAAACCCUACCUGGAAACAUAGUAUCUUCUGCCCUGGCUUUUUUAUAGGACUGAAACCCGGUUGGUUGAAGAAUAUUUUGUCAGAACUGUAAUGGCUCUCUGGCUGUCUCGCUCACACUCCGAACCUACCUCCCAUGUAGUUCGCUUUGCUCCAUUUAUGCUACUGCAAAUACUUUCCAUAUACUUGUUUACGCCCACCCCAUUGGUAGGUGGACUUACAAAACACAUUAUUGUCUCAUUUUAUCUCGCUAUUCCGAUCACGUGGCACACAGCCAACUGUGUAAGUGUGUAAGUGUGUCUCCACAAAAGUCAAUUCCCUGAUGAAAUGAAACAGAGAAAUAGAAAUUAUUUUUUUGCUUUGUUUUUGUUUUUUUGUUUUUUGUUUGUUUGUUUGUUUUGUUUUUUUUUUUUAACAAAAAUGGCUUACAUAGUGGCUCCGGGUUACGGUUUGAAUUUGCAAUGUCCUCUACAGAGCAUAUGCAGAAACCAUUGUCCUUAGUUAGUGGCAGGGGAAAUUUUAGAAGGUGGGACUUCGUUGUCACGGAAAGGGUCUUCUUUACCUGCCCCUCCCCCCAUCUCUUUGCCUCUGUGUAUUUCCACCAUCAGAUAAGUAGACUGUGGGCACAGAUUCUUGGUGUUGUUGUGUCCCAAGUCACCCUGAAUCCGGAAUCACUGGAGGCAACCACGAUGGAGGGAGACCAUGAGGAAAAUUCAUGUCAAAUACCCUGUUGCGAAGGAUGACACCAGCGCCUGCCCGUGACAGGGUUACAUGAUAACUACUCGAUGCUGUCUAAUUUUUACCUGCAGUGCCUGGGGCAGUCAUUUCCCUACAUUAAAUGGCCAGACUAAAUGUAUGCGAUACUUUUCUAAAGACCUUACCUCAUCAGAGAGAACCUUCGCUCAACAGAAUUUUCCUUGCAAAUAUAUCGGCGGGCCGCCACUGUGCUGUGUUUAAUUUCUUGACUCUAAUCUCCACGAGGCUGAGACAUUAUAUAACCAAGGUUGUUAAAAAUACAUGGCAAAGGAAAACAAAUAUGAUCUAACACAGUUAAAGAUGUAUUUUUUUUAAGAAAUAGUCUGCACAGAUGCCAAAUUUCAAGUUGCCUUAUUUUGGUCCAUUCUCUGGAUCUACCUAAGAUAUCUAUUUCAGACAGACGCCCACACCAAUGAGAGGCUCUGGCAUUUGUCAUGUUUCAAGAGUGAAUUGUUCAGGAAGACUUCUGGGUAAGGAGGAGUCUGCGUGUUUAUAAUUAUUUGUGUGUUAAUAGGUACAUGUGCAGCAACGUCAUACUUAUUCUCUCAGCAAAUGUUAUUUGCCUACCAUGGUGAUGUAUUAUUAAAGGCCCUCAUUUCCCACCAGAUCUGUUAACACCAAUGACAGACGGGCCUCUUCUCUAAGAAGCCUCUGCCUCCAGAGCAGAGGGGUUACUAUUUAGUCAAUCAGCUCUUCUGUCAUGCUCCGGGAGCCCUUGUUUACCUCAGAUAGGUGAGACAAUUACACUCCAAAAAUAUCAAAUUCAUCACAGGGCCGACUCCUAAUUUACCGUUUAUAACUCAGUGAUUACAAGGACUGCUCUACCCGUGUUAUCUGUGGAGCAUUAGCUCUCUCAAGGACAAUGAACCCUUAUAUCCAUUGCUUUCCCCCUCUGCCCAUGGAUGGUAGCUUCUUAGACUGAGUCAUUCUGCUGUCAGCACAGGUCACUGGUUGAGGAGCAUCCAGCUGAGAAAACAAUGCUAAUCAUUUUGCUUCAUCACUACUGUUGCCACUCGGGACAGGCAAGCCUUAGUGCUGGGGUUCAGUGCCAUCACUUGAUGAGAGCAAUGGAGGUUUAGUAAGAAGAGCAGUAGGAAGCCAGGGUAGACGGAGAACUUCCCAAGAACCUGUCACUGUUCUUGUAUGUCCCAGUGCCUGGUACAAGUACACAGUAGCUGUGUGUCCCACACACGUGCACACAAGGAAAGUGUGAAAAUGGGAAGGAGAGAAGGAAGGGGUGAGGAAAAGAGGCAAGGGAACAUUCUUGGAGAAAACUGGUUCUAUAGAGACACAAACACCUUCGGCUGCCUAUAGAAGAUACACGACAACUUCCCUUACAAUCAGAAGCAACAACUCCAAGUCUAACACACUUUAAAUGAUGCCUCUGUGCUUUGAAAACAACUCACCGGAGCACUGUAAGACUUAAACCCAAAUUGGCUUUGACUAACGUCAAAGAAGAGAGACAGUUUAGGCUCCAGGCUGCAGGGAAAGGGUAAAAUCUAGUUUGAAGCAACCAAUCAUACCGUAAUGUUUGGAAAGAAAGACUCUAUUUCUGCGUGCUUAGGUUUGGGGAUGCUGAUGCAGACACCUUGAAGCUUUCUUUACAAGGAGAGUUCAUGCUCCUUGUGGAAACAUAACGUGAUUUUAAAACCAAUCGAUGGAGGGAGAGAGAGAGAGAGAGAGAGAGAG